rnacentral:rRNA from 1 species
GCGGUAUUUUGACCGUGCUAAGGUAGCAUAAUCAAUUGUUUUUUAAUUGAAAACUAGUAUGAACGGUUUAAUUUACUUAAUUAGUUUGUAAUUUUUAAUAGUAAGUUAAAUAUAAAGUAAGAAUUCUUUAAUAAAUUAGGGGACGAUAAGACCCUAAAAGCUUUAUGAUUGGCAUUUAAUUAGUGAUAGCGGUGUUAUUAAUUCACUGGGGCAGUGAGUUUAGGUAUAUUUAAGUAUAAUUAAAAGCUCCUUUAAAUAAAGAUUUCAUGUAUAAGUUACUUUAGGGAUAACAGUGCAAUAUAUUUGGGGAGACCAUAUCUAUAAAUAUGAUUGCAACCUCGAUGUUGAAAUUAAAAUA